rnacentral:rRNA from 1 species
CCUACGGGAGGCAGCAGUGGGGAAUAUUGCACAAUGGGGGAAACCCUGAUGCAGCAACGCCGCGUGAGCGAAGAAGCAUUUCGGUAUGUAAAGCUCUUUCAGCAGGGAAGAAUAUAACCGGUACCCGCUCAAAAACCCCCGCUAACUACGUGCCAGCAGGCGCGGUAAUACGUAGGGGGCAAGGGUUUUCCGGAUUUACCGGGUGUAAAGGGAGCGUAGACGGCUUGGCAAGCCAGAGGUGAAAAGCUGCGGCUCAACCGCAGAACUGCAUUUGGAACUGUUUUGCUAGAGUGUCGGAGAGGCAGGCGGAAUUCCUAGUGUAGCGGUGAAAUGCGUAGAUAUUAGGAGGAACACCAGUGGCGAAGGCGGCCUGCUGGACGAUAACUGACGUUGAGGCUCGAAAGCGUGGGGAGCAAACAGGAUUAGAUACCCUAGUAGUC